GUCUACAGCCAUGCCACUCUGAACAAGCCCGAUCCCGUCGGAUCUUGGAAGCUAAGCAGGGUCGGAGAUGGUUAGUACUUGGAUGGGAGACCACCUAGGAAGACCAGGUGCUGGAGGCA
rnacentral:rRNA from 1 species